AGAAUAGUUCAUACCAGCCAUCAAAAACAGCUUCCUCCCUUGUACAUGGUUCUCAUUGCCAUGUCUAGCUCAACCCAUCCCAUGUCAAGCUCCAGCUCCCCCCUUGUUUCUCUUGAGGAGCAGCCACCACUUCCACUAAUGAUAUGCCCUUUCUGCAACAAUGGGAUGGUUCAGUGGUGGGUCUCCCGCACAGCAAACAAUCCAGACAAGCACUUCUACAAGUGCGAGCACGAGUGGGUAUGUCCUAAUACUUUUUUCACUUGUUGUGUACUAUCAUGUUCUACUGCAUGAUCCCAUCUUCCUUUUUUCUUCCGUUUUUGCAAGACUCGCAAAUGCAACUUUUGGAAAUGAGAGGAGAACUACAUCAACGUCAUACGUGCCAAGUGGCCGAGGCUGUUCACCGUCCCUUCCCGUGAAGACAGGAAAUUACACCGCAUCAUCAUCGCUCUCCUCCUAGUCAAUCUGCUCGCUCUGUUCUUAGUAUGCUACAAGGUCGCUUGAAGCCGCCAGGACCUCUCCCGACUCCUGCCUGUCCUUCAAGUUCAAGCCAUUUUUUAUUGAAUAAAUAUGUUUAUCUGUAUUGUCUGUAACCAGUUGUCUUCCACUGGCAAAUUCUGUUUUUAUAUUUAUCCACCCUCUGAUUAGAUGUUGUAAUCAUGUAUCACAACUAGUACCCCAUUCAUAAAUUCGAAAUCAGAUGUAUGAUAUAUUUAUUUGUCAUUGUCCACCUUAUCCAUUAUCUCACUUAACUAUCAC
rnacentral:lncRNA from 1 species